UGUUGCCUGACAAGAAACUGUAGAUGCUAUUAUAUCACAGCUUCAAGCUAUGAGAUACAGAUAUGUUUUGUUAUGCCGGAUAUCCUGGUUUUGUGGAGGAUCUUAGAGUUUUUCGCAAUUCUGAUCUUUGGAAUUGUGUCAAUCAAAGAAAUCUUCUGUCUUUUUUUCAUAAUCAAGAAUUUACAAUAGGAGACAAAGCAUAUCUUAUACUUGGAUGGUGUUUGACCGCUUAUAAGGAUAAUGGUCAUUUAACAGAGCUGCUCCAUUGGAUGAAUACUAUUUUUAAGCAGAAUAAGAAUGAGUAUAUACAGCAGUAUAUAUAGAAAAUGAAAAUGAUGAAUCAAUCAAUCAGUCAUGAACUGAUCAAUUAACAGAAAAAGCAAAACUGUACAACAAAUUUUAAUUUUUUAAAUCGAUAAUCAAUAUAAGAUUUACGUCAUGGCAGUAUUACUAAAAUGAGGAAAAAUUGGCGUUUCAACUUAUGUUGAACUCCUCACGUGUAGCAAGAAUGCUGUAGAUGCAUCAGAUUUGAUGGAAGAUCAAGCAAGUUCAGUAGAAGACAACAUACAAGAAGAAAACAUGGACUUGACUGAAGUUAAAACGAAUUCAGUAGAAGACAAUGAGAAGAAAAUAUG